UACGGAGGGAGCAAGCGUUACUCGGAAUUAUUGGGCGUAAAGGGCGCGUAGGCGAUUUAGCAAGUCUUGUGUGAAAGCCCACAGCUUAACUGUGGAAGUGCACAAGAUACUGCUGAAUUUGAGUUCAGGAGAGGAAGGCAGAAUUCCUGGUGUAGCGGUGAAAUGCGUAGAUAUCAGGAGGAAUACCAGUGGCGAAGGCGGCCUUCUGGACUGACACUGACGCUGAGGCGCGAAAGCUAGGGGAGCAAACGGG
rnacentral:rRNA from 1 species